rnacentral:rRNA from 1 species
CCAACACACAAAACAAGCGGUGAGUGCUUUGGGGUGGGGUGACUGCGUACCUUUUGUAUAAUGGGUCAGCGACUUAUAUUCUGUAGCAAGGUUAACCGUAUAGGGGAGCCGAAGGGAAACCGAGUCUUAACUGGGCGUUAAGUUGCAGGGUAUAGACCCGAAACCCGGUGAUCUAGCCAUGGGCAGGUUGAAGGUUGGGUAACACUAACUGGAGGACCGAACCGACUAAUGUUGAAAAAUUAGCGGAUGACUUGUGGCUGGGGGUGAAAGGCCAAUCAAACCGGGAGAUAGCUGGUUCUCCCCGAAAGCUAUUUAGGUAGCGCCUCGUGAACUCAUCUUCGGGGGUAGAGCACUGUUUCGGCUAGGGGGUCAUCCCGACUUACCAACCCGAUGCAAACUGCGAAUACCGAAGAAUGUUAUCACGGGAGACACACGGCGGGUGCUAACGUCCGUCGUGAAGAGGGAAACAACCCAGACCGCCAGCUAAGGUCCCAAAGUCACAGUUAAGUGGGAAACGAUGUGGGAAGGCUCAGACAGCCAGGAUGUUGGCUUAGAAGCAGCCAUCAUUUAAAGAAAGCGUAAUAGCUCACUGGUCGAGUCGGCCUGCGCGGAAGAUGUAACGGGGCUAAACUGUGCACCGAAGCUGCGGCAGCGACGCUUAUGCGUUGUUGGGUAGGGGAGCGUUCUGUAAGCCUGCGAAGGUGUCCUGUGAGGGAUGCUGGAGGUAUCAGAAGUGCGAAUGCUGACAUAAGUAACGAUAA